rnacentral:rRNA from 1 species
AUUGAACGCUGGCGGCAGGCCUAACACAUGCAAGUCGAACGAGUGGCGGACGGGUGAGUAAUGUCUGGGAAACUGCCCGAUGGAGGGGGAUAACUACUGGAAACGGUAGCUAAUACCGCAUACCAUCGGAUGUGCCCAGAUGGGAUUAGCGAGUAGGUGGGGUAACGGCUCACCUAGGCGACGAUCCCUAGCUGGUCUGAGCGGAUGAACAGCACCACUGGAACUGAGAUACGGCCCAAACACCUACGGGAGGCAGCAGUGGGGAAUAUUGCACAGUGGGCGAAAGCCUGAUGCAGCCAUGCCGCGUGUAUGGAGAAGGCCUUCGGGUUGUAAAGUACUUUCAGCGAGGAGGCGUUAAUCGCAGAAGAAGCACCGGCUAACUCCGUGCCAGCAGCCGCGGUAAUUC